GGAGAGGUGCUGGAGUGGCCGAACAGGCGCGACUGGAAAUCGCGUAGGGGAGCAAUCCUCUCGUGGGUUCGAAUCCCACCCUCUCCGCCA
rnacentral:tRNA from 1 species